CACUGAACACAGUGGGCUUUACUACUGUAAGGCAGAGAACAAACACGGAAACAGCGAUUCUGACGCUACAUUUUUGGAUGUGCACUACUCCCCCAGGAUGACCUCAGUAUCAAUCAGCCCCUCUGGUGACCUUCAGGAGGGCGACUCAGUGACUCUGACCUGCAGCAGUGAUGCCAACCCACCAGUGCACAACUACACCUGGUACAGGAAGACCGGAGAUGAAACAGCUCUUCUGGGCACAGGGAGGACCUUUAACCUCACUCUUAACCUCGUUCCUGGUGUGGAUGGACUUUAUCACUGUGAGGUGCAAAAUAAGGUCGGCUCGAAGAACUCAACUGCGAUCAGGAUCCUUAUGCCAGCUCCCCAAAAAGACUCCUUCUGGACCCCUGCAGUUGUAGGCUUUAUUUUGGGCACAUUGACUGGGC